GUGCUGCUAUUACCGCCGCUGCUGGCACGUAGUUAGCCGGUGCUUUUUCUGCAGGUACCGUCACUUUCGCUUCUUCCCACUAAAAGAGGUUUACAACCCAAAGGCGUCUUUCCCUCACGCGGGGUUGCUGCAUCAGGCUUGCGCCCAUUGAGCAUAUUCCCCA
rnacentral:rRNA from 1 species